CCUCUAGUUGACACUUGCUCCCUGUCUUUUAAAGAUCACCUCAGCUCUAAUAUUUCCAGAUGCUAGUGAAUGUUUCUAAGUCAGUUUGCUCUCAUCUCUGACUCCAGUGGCCUCUACCCAGGCUCUCCAUCCACAAAGGACAAGAACUGCCCAGCGCUUACUUUUCCAGAAAGCAGACGCCACAGAAGGCACUGUUUCUACCUUGCCUGGCAAAGAUCAUUGGAAAAUGAAUGGUAACUGACAUUGUUGGAAACACUUCCCUUUUCAGAUCCAUGAAAGGCGUUGGGUUCUGAGAUGCAAGCGAGAUCUCCCACCCCGCCCCCCCAAAAAACCCAAAAUAGCUUUAAAAUAUUAAAUAAAUAAGAACAACCUGGC
rnacentral:lncRNA from 1 species